rnacentral:lncRNA from 1 species
AAAUUUCAUUUAUUUAAUCAGAGUAAUUCACCUAAACGGAAUGUCACAUUCUUUUCUUAAAAUCAUAAACUGAAUAAAUAACUAUUUAUCCUUUAAAAUUCAAUAACAAAAUUUUUAAUACUUUGCAGCGGAAUUUAUUCGAUAACUAAAAACAGUCUUUGGCACAAGGCCUCAUCAUUAAUAUCUCAUACAAAUUCGAUCAACAUCUUAUUCAUGAAAAUUCUUUAAGCAAUACGUAAGGAAUAGAAAGACAACAUUAAAAUUCCCAUCCCGUUACGUAUCAGAGCACCUAAAGACACACAUGAGAGCUAAUCCACUCACAACAGCAACUUAAACUCGAUCACCUGCAAGUUACUCAUACGAAGAGCAACAUUUUCAAGCAGAAGGGGUGAGAUUUCACAAAACAAUAAUAUCAAGC